rnacentral:rRNA from 1 species
GGACGAACGCUGGCGGCGUGCAUAACACAUGCAAGUCGAGCGAAGUGCUUAUCAUGAAAUCUUCGGAUUGAUUGAUAAACCACUUAGCGGCGGAUGGGUGAGUAACGCGUGAGGAACCUGCCUUGCACAAGGGGAUAGCCUCGGGAAACCGGGAUUAAUACCCUAUGAUACUUUGAGUUUGCAUGAACUUAAAGUUAAAGCGAUUAAGCGGUGUAAGAUGGUCUCGCGUCCCAUUAGCUAGUUGGUGAGGUAACGGCUCACCAAGGCUGCGAUGGGUAGCCGGCUUGAGAGAGUGACCGGCCACACUGGAACUGAGACACGGUCCAGACUCCUACGGGAGGCAGCAGUGGGGAAUAUUGCACAAUGGAGGAAACUCUGAUGCAGCGACGCCGCGUGAGCGAUGAAGGAAUUCGUUUCGUAAAGCUCUGUCCUAGGGGACGAUAAUGACGGUACCCUAGGAGUAAGCCCCGGCUAACUACGUGCCAGCAGCCGCGGUAAUACGUAGGGGGCGAGCGUUGUCCGGAAUUAUUGGGCGUAAAGGGUACGCAGGCGGCCAUGUAAGUCAGAUGUGAAAGAUCACGGCUUAACCGUGGUAAGCAUUUGAAACUGCUUGGCUUGAGUUAAGGAGAGGAAAGUGGAAUUCCUAGUGUAGCGGUGAAAUGCGUAGAUAUUAGGAAGAAUAUCAGUGGCGAAGGCGACUUUCUGGACUUAUACUGACGCUGAGGUACGAAAGCGUGGGGAGCAAACAGGAUUAGAUACCCUGGUAGUCCACGCUGUAAACGAUGAGUGCUAGGUGUCGGGGGUCAAACCUCGGUGCCGCCGUUAACACAUUAAGCACUCCGCCUGGGGAGUACGUUCGCAAGAAUG